rnacentral:rRNA from 1 species
UACGAAGGGUGCAAGCGUUACUCGGAAUUACUGGGCGUAAAGCGUGCGUAGGUGGUUUGUUAAGUCUGUUGUGAAAGCCCCGGGCUCAACCUGGGAAUGGCAAUGGAUACUGGCAGGCUAGAGUGCGGUAGAGGGUAGUGGAAUUCCCGGUGUAGCGGUGGAAUGCGCAGAUAUCGGGAGGAACACCCGUGGCGAAGGCGGGCACUCUGGGACGGUACUGACGGCUGAGACGCGAAAGCGUGGGGAGCAAACAGG